AAGCGUGCGCAGGCGGUUUUGUAAGUCAGAUGUGAAAUCCCCGCAGCUCAACUUGGGAACUGCGUUUGAAACUACAAGACUAGAAUAUGUCAGAGGGGGGUAGAAUUCCACGUGUAGCAGUGAAAUGCGUAGAGAUGUGGAGGAAUACCAAUGGCGAAGGCAGCCCCCUGGGAUAAUAUUGACGCUCAUGCACGAAAGCGUGGGGAGCAAACAGGAUUAGAUACCCUGGUAGUCCACGCCCUAAACGAUGUCUACUAGUUGUUGGUGGAGUAAAAUCCAUGAGUAACGCAGCUAACGCGUGAAGUAGACCGCCUGGGGAGUACGGUCGCAAGAUUAAAACUCAAAUGAAUUGACGGGGGCCCGCACAAGCGGUGGAUUAUGUGGAUUAAUUCGAUGCAACGCGAAAAACCUUACCUGGCCUUGACAUGUAACGAACUUUCCAGAGAUGGAUUGGUGCUCGAAAGAGAGCGUUAACACAGGUGCUGCAUGGCUGUCGUCAGCUCGUGUCGUGAGAUGUUGGGUUAAGUCCCGCAACGAGCGCAACCCUUGCCAUUAAUUGCCAUCAUUUAGUUGGGCACUUUAAUGGGACUGCCGGUGACAAACCGGAGGAAGGUGGGGAUGACGUCAAGUCCUCAUGGCCCUUAUGGCCAGGGCUUCACACGUAAUACAAUGGUCGGUACAGAGGGUUGCCAAGCCGCGAGGUGGAGCCAAUCCCAGAAAGCCGAUCGUAGUCCGGAUUGUAGUCUGCAACUCGACUACAUGAAGUCGGAAUCGCUAGUAAUCGCGGAUCAGCAUGUCGCGGUGAAUACGUUCCCGGGCCUUGUACACACCGCCCGUCACACCAUGGGAGUGGGUUUUACCAGAAGUAGAUAGUCUAACCUUCGGGAGGACGCUUACCACGGUAGUAUUCAUGACUGGGGUGAAGUCGUAACAAGGUAA
rnacentral:rRNA from 1 species